GCCCGAGACUGUGCUCGGAGGCCUCUGCCAUGAGGCAGCUCAGGGCUGUGCUGCUGCUGGCACUGCUGCUCUGCAGCCUGGCAGCUGCUGCUCCUUCCAACGGGACCCCUCCUGCACCCCCGCCCCCCCUCGUCCCCUCCCUGGCAGGUGUGGCUGUAGUGCCCAGGGUGAACACUGGGCUGUGGGCACUGCUGGUGGAUGCUUUGGACCAGCUGCUGAGGGCAGCGAGCGCCAAUAUCAUUGGGUGACAGCGAGCAGCCAGCACAGGCUGGCUCCGGGCACCAGGAUGUGGCCUCCUCCUGCUCCUCCUCCCUGGCAGCAUCCCUGGCACCACGCAGGCUCCCAGCGGCUCCUGGACCCCCUCCGCGGCUGGGGCUGAGCUUCAGCUUCUGCCACUGCUCCUCUGCCACCUCCUGCCACUGCUCCUCUGCCACCUCCUGCCUGCCUCUGCUGCCCCAAGGCACCAAUAAAGCA